rnacentral:lncRNA from 1 species
AUCCAGAGAGUCUGAUGCAGUUCUAGUGGGAAAUAUCUCAUCCCGCAGAAAAGACGCAGGUUGCUAGGAGAUGGCACAUCUUGAUGGAAGCUCAGCUCGAGACUGUUCUUAAUGAGUCUAUGAUGCAUUGAGCUCAGAAGAACCAGGGAGCUUUACAGUACAGAAGAUCAAGAGAAUGGAAAAGGAGAUGGGGACAGCCAAAGUAAAGAAACAGACGUUCCACCACAAGGUAUCUGAAUGGCUCUUUACCCAGGUCCCUUCGAAGAGCCGUGGAAGUGGACCUGUUCCUUCGGUUCUGAAGACACCUUAUGAACACUUAUGAAUGUUGUUACCAAGUUUACCUGAAAACUUUACUGAAACCCUGUUUCUUUCUAACUUUCUUCAUUCUAACUUUUCUUCAUUCGGCAAGGCAAACUCUGACCACUAGAUGGCACUGCUCCACAGAUUUGUAAUGAAAUGGCUUCAGGCUCCCACACUUGUAUUUAUGACUACAAAAGUGUGGUUUUGCACCUUUUCUCUUAGAAGCAUUGAUCGAUCGUCAGCCCAAUAAUCUUGCCUUCGUAGCCUGCUUUGUGUACUCUACUGGCUUUGAAGCUGUGAAGUUGGAAAGAGUUCUGUGCGCGGAAAUGUGUCUCUCCGAGAUACAUUUACAACAGUCGCGCCUACCAGGCUGCAGAGAUUACCUCUAGCAGUGGGGACCUGAAUCCUCCCUCGUAGUUCCUGCAAACAGGUCAGAAGUACGGCCCUCUUCUUUCCUCCAAGGGGAAGGGGUGAGGGGAUGCAUUUCCAAAAUAUUCAUUGGAUGUUAGUUUACAGAAACACGGAAGCCCAGUACCUUAAAUUUUGUACUGGCUAAGAUUUGUAUCUCAAUAAUGUGUCAAGCUGGACAAAACGUGUCAUAUUGGCACCCACAAUAAAUAAAGAAAAGAAAAAAAUAAGAAAAAUUUUUG